rnacentral:rRNA from 1 species
AUUGAACGCUGGCGGCAGGCCUAACACAUGCAAGUCGAGCGGAUGAAGGGAGCUUGCUCCUGGAUUUAGCGGCGGACGGGUGAGUAAUGCCUAGGAAUCUGCCUGGUAGUGGGGGAUAACGUCCGGAAACGGGCGCUAAUACCGAAUACGUCCUGAGGGAGAUAGUGGGGGAUCUUCGGACCUCACGCUAUCACAUGAGCCUAGGCCGGUUUAGCUAGUUGGUGGGGUAAAGGCCUACCAAGGAGACGAUCCGUAACUGGUCUGAGAGGAUGAUCAGUCACACUGGAACUGAGACACGGUCCAGACUCCUGCGGGAGUCAGCAGUGAGGAAUAUUGGACAAUGGGCGAAAGCCUGAUCCAGCCAUGCCGCAUGUGUGAAGAAGGUCUUCGGAUUGUAAAGCACUUUAAGUUGGGAGGAAGGGCAGUAAGUUAAUACCUUGCUGUGUUGACGUUACCAACAGAAUAAGCACGGGCUAACUUCGUG